rnacentral:rRNA from 1 species
GGUUAAGCGACUAAGCGUACACGGUGGAUGCCCUGGCAGUCAGAGGCGAUGAAGGACGUGCUAAUCUGCGAUAAGCGUCGGUAAGGUGAUAUGAACCGUUAUAACCGGCGAUUUCCGAAUGGGGAAACCCAGUGUGUUUCGACACACUAUCAUUAACUGAAUCCAUAGGUUAAUGAGGCGAACCGGGGGAACUGAAACAUCUAAGUACCCCGAGGAAAAGAAAUCAACCGAGAUUCCCCCAGUAGCGGCGAGCGAACGGGGAGCAGCCCAGAGCCUGAAUCAGUGUGUGUGUUAGUGGAAGCGUCUGGAAAGGCGCGCGAUACAGGGUGACAGCCCCGUACACAAAAAUGCACAUGCUGUGAGCUCGAUGAGUAGGGCGGGACACGUGGUAUCCUGUCUGAAUAUGGGGGGACCAUCCUCCAAGGCUAAAUACUCCUGACUGACCGAUAGUGAACCAGUACCGUGAGGGAAAGGCGAAAAGAACCCCGGCGAGGGGAGUGAAAAAGAACCUGAAACCGUGUACGUACAAGCAGUGGGAGCACGCUUAGGCGUGUGACUGCGUACCUUUUGUAUAAUGGGUCAGCGACUUAUAUUCUGUAGCAAGGUUAACCGAAUAGGGGAGCCGAAGGGAAACCGAGUCUUAACUGGGCGUUAAGUUGCAGGGUAUAGACCCGAAACCCGGUGAUCUAGCCAUGGGCAGGUUGAAGGUUGGGUAACACUAACUGGAGGACCGAACCGACUAAUGUUGAAAAAUUAGCGGAUGACUUGUGGCUGGGGGUGAAAGGCCAAUCAAACCGGGAGAUAGCUGGUUCUCCCCGAAAGCUAUUUAGGUAGCGCCUCGUGAAUUCAUCUCCGGGGGUAGAGCACUGUUUCGGCAAGGGGGUCAUCCCGACUUACCAACCCGAUGCAAACUGCGAAUACCGGAGAAUGUUAUCACGGGAGACACACGGCGGGUGCUAACGUCCGUCGUGAAGAGGGAAACAACCCAGACCGCCAGCUAAGGUCCCAAAGUCAUGGUUAAGUGGGAAACGAUGUGGGAAGGCCCAGACAGCCAGGAUGUUGGCUUAGAAGCAGCCAUCAUUUAAAGAAAGCGUAAUAGCUCACUGGUCGAGUCGGCCUGCGCGGAAGAUGUAACGGGGCUAAACCAUGCACCGAAGCUGCGGCAGCGACACUAUGUGUUGUUGGGUAGGGGAGCGUUCUGUAAGCCUGUGAAGGUGUACUGUGAGGUAUGCUGGAGGUAUCAGAAGUGCGAAUGCUGACAUAAGUAACGAUAAAGCGGGUGAAAAGCCCGCUCGCCGGAAGACCAAGGGUUCCUGUCCAACGUUAAUCGGGGCAGGGUGAGUCGACCCCUAAGGCGAGGCCGAAAGGCGUAGUCGAUGGGAAACAGGUUAAUAUUCCUGUACUUGGUGUUACUGCGAAGGGGGGACGGAGAAGGCUAUGUUGGCCGGGCGACGGUUGUCCCGGUUUAAGCGUGUAGGCUGGUUUUCCAGGCAAAUCCGGAAAAUCAAGGCUGAGGCGUGAUGACGAGGCACUACGGUGCUGAAGCAACAAAUGCCCUGCUUCCAGGAAAAGCCUCUAAGCAUCAGGUAACAUCAAAUCGUACCCCAAACCGACACAGGUGGUCAGGUAGAGAAUACCAAGGCGCUUGAGAGAACUCGGGUGAAGGAACUAGGCAAAAUGGUGCCGUAACUUCGGGAGAAGGCACGCUGAUACGUAGGUGAAGUCCCUCGCGGAUGGAGCUGAAAUCAGUCGAAGAUACCAGCUGGCUGCAACUGUUUAUUAAAAACACAGCACUGUGCAAACACGAAAGUGGACGUAUACGGUGUGACGCCUGCCCGGUGCCGGAAGGUUAAUUGAUGGGGUUAGCGGUAACGCGAAGCUCUUGAUCGAAGCCCCGGUAAACGGCGGCCGUAACUAUAACGGUCCUAAGGUAGCGAAAUUCCUUGUCGGGUAAGUUCCGACCUGCACGAAUGGCGUAAUGAUGGCCAGGCUGUCUCCACCCGAGACUCAGUGAAAUUGAACUCGCUGUGAAGAUGCAGUGUACCCGCGGCAAGACGGAAAGACCCCGUGAACCUUUACUAUAGCUUGACACUGAACAUUGAGCCUUGAUGUGUAGGAUAGGUGGGAGGCUUUGAAGUGUGGACGCCAGUCUGCAUGGAGCCGACCUUGAAAUACCACCCUUUAAUGUUUGAUGUUCUAACGUGGACCCGUAAUCCGGGUUGCGGACAGUGUCUGGUGGGUAGUUUGACUGGGGCGGUCUCCUCCUAAAGAGUAACGGAGGAGCACGAAGGUUGGCUAAUCCUGGUCGGACAUCAGGAGGUUAGUGCAAUGGCAUAAGCCAGCUUGACUGCGAGCGUGACGGCGCGAGCAGGUGCGAAAGCAGGUCAUAGUGAUCCGGUGGUUCUGAAUGGAAGGGCCAUCGCUCAACGGAUAAAAGGUACUCCGGGGAUAACAGGCUGAUACCGCCCAAGAGUUCAUAUCGACGGCGGUGUUUGGCACCUCGAUGUCGGCUCAUCACAUCCUGGGGCUGAAGUAGGUCCCAAGGGUAUGGCUGUUCGCCAUUUAAAGUGGUACGCGAGCUGGGUUUAGAACGUCGUGAGACAGUUCGGUCCCUAUCUGCCGUGGGCGCUGGAGAACUGAGGGGGGCUGCUCCUAGUACGAGAGGACCGGAGUGGACGCAUCACUGGUGUUCGGGUUGUCAUGCCAAUGGCACUGCCCGGUAGCUAAAUGCGGAAGAGAUAAGUGCUGAAAGCAUCUAAGCACGAAACUUGCCCCGAGAUGAGUUCUCCCUGACUCCUUGAGAGUCCUGAAGGAACGUUGAAGACGACGACGUUGAUAGGCCGGGUGUGUAAGCGCAGCGAUGCGUUGAGCUAACCGGUACUAAUGAACCGUGAGGCUUAACCUU